rnacentral:lncRNA from 1 species
UGUGGCCAGAAAACAUAGCAUUCCACAUCUUAAACUCACACACCAAGCAUAACUCCACACUUCUCUUGUUGCUUUACUUGUGCUAAAACAUGUCUUAUACUUUCCCUUGUCUUUAUAUAAAGAGCACUGAGUCUCUUCCUAAGAUACUCAAACAUCUCAACAAUCAUACAUUAAUUACUAUAUAUCUUAAAUAUAAUUAAUUCUUCUCUGCUAGAAACAAUAUUUUGCUCUUAAAAAAAAUGUCAUUUGUUUCAAGAGUUGUUGCUUCAUGGUGCCAGAAGCAUGGAAAUGAUGAAGGUGCUGUUUUGUAUGACUAUCCUCUUGCAAUUUGCAAUGAAGGAGACGACGACGAUGAUGGUGGUUAUGAUUAUGCUCCAGCAGCAUAAACUCAUUAUCUGUCUGAUUGAUUUUGGCUACUACUUCAACUAGCUAAUUAGUCUACUACACUUAACUAGUUAAUGACUCUCUUCUUGUUUUUGGUUGUAACAAUAUUAGUGCUAAUUGAAAAAACAUUAGGAUAUCUGCUAUACUCUAAUAGCCUAUUAGUCAUCAUAUGAUCCUUUUAUGGAUGAUGUAGUCUACUUAUAUAUGUUGACCAGCUUUGUGUUAUGCAGAAUGAAAGAGCAACUAUAUAUGAAUAAUGCAUGCUAUUAUGCUAAUAACAAAUGUAGUUAGUUUGAAAUUCCCAAGUAAUGAUUUCAUUUGCUCUCACGUGUACAAACUGAUUUUUAGUGUUUUAAUUUUAAAUAAAAGUCAUGCUGGAUAUGUUAGUUAAGCGCCGAUUUAAUAGUUAUAAUACCUGAGGAAUAUUGGAAAAUCUAUCACACCACAAAAGAAAAAACAUAAAGGGUCAAAAUUGCACAAUUGCAAUACCUGAGGGUCAAAUCAAACCUAAAGUUUAACAUAAAUUGUUUUCAGGGGUAAACACAAAUUACUAGCAGUCAUCUACUUUCUUUUUUCUUUUUUUCUUUUUUUUUGGUAUUCAACGGAGCCAAAACCCAAAAAAGAAAUUACACAAAGUAACGUUGGGGGUAGAAACACCCCCUACAAUCAUCAACAUAAACUCGAGCCACCUGUGGAGGAGGGGACUCGAAGAAAACAAUACCAUUACCUGAGAAUCAAUUUGAAUCUCAACCUUCUCUACUUGUCUUCUCCUUGCUAGUUGUAGCCCUUCAUNNNNNNNNNNNNNNNNNNNNNNNNNNNNNNNNNNNNNNNNNNNNNNNNNNNNNNNNNCACCAGCACUUGAGUCUUCCUCCCCGCUGCACCUGGUUCUCUAACACAGUACUAUCUUCAUAUGCUUUAACAUACUCCAGCACUACCACCCAUGGUUUCGUUGGACUCACGAAAUUGUCAUCACGAUUACCAGCCAACCUCACUAUUCCGACCCAACUGAUCAGAAGAUAACAUGCUGUUGACUAAAUAGCUUCCCAGCCAACCUCACUAUUCCGACCCAACUGAGAAGAUAAAUUCAAGCCAAUCCAUUCUUUAAGUUGAGUAUUGAAAAACUUAUCUCUUGCAUUAAUAUGAAGAUGCUGCCACGUAUGUACUGCAAUCGGGCAAUCUCUGAUCACAUGAAGGAUUGACUCUUCAAAUUGAUAACAAUUAUCACAAUAAGGUUCUCCAAGCUUCAAUCUCGCCAGCCACUGCCUGGUUAGAAGCCUUGCAUGCUUCGUUCUUUCUUUUUUUGAAUCUACUUUCUUACUAUCAGAAUGAAACACAUUGUUAAUAUAACAUGCUUAAAAGUUAGUAUAAUAUUUUCGAAUCUCAUCGCACAUUUAAAAUAGAAAUUACAUACAUGUGUUUUACAAACAAGCAUUAUCUAAUGUAUACAAGUAUGGCUAUUCUAAAUGAGAUAUCGUUCUUCUUGCACUUUGCUUGUCGUCUAGGCAUAACACAACAAUAGAGGACAUUCUGCUGUACCAAGCAGUCAAGGAGAAUAUUCUUCUGCAGAACAGUUCACAUGAUAAGCUUGUGCACUAAGAAGAUUCCAAAAGCUGCCCCUAAAUAAUAAUGUUACAGUUAAAAUGGCCCAAUCGUGCGUGCACUCAAGGAUUCCUUAUGUUUAUAUACUGUUUGUCACGAAUAUCGAGGCCUGACUCAUCCUUACAAAACCGGCUUGUAAGGUGAGGAUUGCCUCCUCUUUAUAAACUCUUCUCAAGAAUCCUAUCUAUCCAAUGUGGGACUAAAUCCCACCGAGUGUUGGCCGCUAACACUGUUAUCCUCCAACAAGGCAACAACACCAAUAUGUGCUGAAUUAUUCCUAAAUAUUCUGGAUUUGAAGCUGGCCAUAUAUACAAAUCCAACGUGUCUACUGAGUUGUCUGAAUUGGAUUACCUAUGUGGCCUGAAAACAUAGCAUUCCACAUCUUAAACUCACACACCAACCAUAACUCCACACUUUUCUUGUUGCUUUACUUGUGCUAAAACAUGUCUUAUACUUUCCCUUGUCUUUAUAUAAAGAGCAUUGAGUCUCUUCCUAAGCUACUCAAACAUCUCAACAAUNNNNNNNNNNNNNNNNNNNNNNNNNNNNNNNNNNNNNNNNNNNNNNNNNNNNNNNNNNNNACUAACCAUCUGUCAGAUUGAGUUUGGUUACUACUUCAACUAGCUAGUAUCAAUGACAAUUACUACUAGCUAGUCUACUACACUUAACUAGUUAAUGACUCUCUUGUUUUUGGUUGUAACAAUAUUAGUGCUAAUUGAAAAAACAUUAGGAUAUCUGCUAUACUCUAAUAGCCUAUUAGUCAUCGGAUGAUCCUUUUAUGGAUGAUGUAGUCCUACUUAUAUAUGUUGAGCAGCUUUGUGUUAUGCAGAAUGAAAGACAAAUAUGUGUGUAUAUAUAGGGGAUGUUUCAAGUGAGAGGAAUUCUCAUAAUGAGAGAUGAGAGGAUUAAAUGCUAUCCAUAUGAUUAAAUUGAACGGUUCUGAUGAUUUUACAAUUAAAAACCUCACACGACUUCAAUUUUU